rnacentral:rRNA from 1 species
UAAUGCCGGAUGCUCCAGUUGAUCGCAUGGUCUUCUGGGAAAGCUUUCGCGGUAUGGGAUGGGGUCGCGUCCUAUCAGCUUGACGGCGGGGUAACGGCCCACCGUGGCUUCGACGGGUAGCCGGCCUGAGAGGGCGACCGGCCACAUUGGGACUGAGAUACGGCCCAGACUCCUACGGGAGGCAGCAGUGGGGAAUAUUGCACAAUGGGCGCAAGCCUGAUGCAGCGACGCCGCGUGAGGGAUGGAGGCCUUCGGGUUGUAAACCUCUUUUAUCGGGGAGCAAGCGAGAGUGAGUUUACCCGUUGAAUAAGCACCGGCUAACUACGUGCCAGCAGCCGCGGUAAUACGUAGGGUGCAAGCGUUAUCCGGAAUUAUUGGGCGUAAAGGGCUCGUAGGCGGUUCGUCGCGUCCGGUGUGAAAGUCCAUCGCUUAACGGUGGAUCCGCGCCGGGUACGGGCGGGCUUGAGUGCGGUAGGGGAGACUGGAAUUCCCGGUGUAACGGUGGAAUGUGUAGAUAUCGAAAAA